CUCAGUUCUGAACUCAGGUGGGGAAUGAAAAUAACAUGUUCCAGGCUACCAAAAACCCUCACAUAGACCAAGCUGUCUCCCAGAUGCCUGGCCCAAUAAAUCAGUGGAUGCCAACUGAGCCUGGUUCAUGUAAGCAGCAUCUGCCAUGGGCCAUGUCAGCAUUCCUUUCUCCACAUUUAACAUCCAUGCCAGUCUAGGACCUGACAGUGAACCAGGAGACCUGGCAAUUGGUGGCAAGAUAUGGAGAAGGCUAGGAGUAUAUGCUUUCUGAAAGGAAGUGGGCCUAUGAACAUCAAGACUGGAGGAGGAGGAUGUCAGAGGAAACAGCUGACGAGUGAGGGAUGGGCAG